AGAAUUUUUUCUUUUUUCUCUCAUUAACGUGGGAAUUUCUGUGAUUAAGUACAGGUAUAGAUAGAUAGAUACAUAGAAAGAUGAGCGGUAAAGCUUAGGAGGCAAAACGGACUUCACGUUUAUUUAACCACGAAACGUAGAACAACGAGACACACCUCUUAUUCCAUCGUCCCAUAACAGAAAUAAUACAUGACACAAGUUCAUACGCACGCUUCAGAAAAGCAACGACCAUCAAACAUUGUAGCGAAGGCUGAAGGCUGGUGCCUUGGAAUGGCUUCAAGCAGGAAGAGAGUGAGACUCCGCGCCACGAACACAGAGAGGAGGAAGAAAAUCGUAGGAACAUGUGCAGCUGGAGUCAUCGCACGUGCCGGUAAAGCAGGUUUUACCGCAGGACACGCGGCCAGCUAGCUUGGAAAGGAUUAGCUCUUCCGUCAUCUUCCUUGGCAGCAGCCCAACAAUGGCGGAGCCGUCCUGUUCCAUAGCCAUAUAGUCUGUGGUCAUGAACGGGCGGCCAUGGCAGUCGGAGCUGCCAUGGUUAUCAGCUAACCACCAUUGCGGCAACAAGAGCCACCAUGCAGGCAGCCUUCUUACCACACUCCAUGCCUGCUGUCCUCCUCUCGAUCUUCAAGUCUCUCUCUGUGUUGUUUAUUUGGUUCGUUCGUUUCUUCGAG
rnacentral:lncRNA from 1 species